rnacentral:rRNA from 1 species
GUAGGGAAUAUUGCGCAAUGGGGGAAACCCUGACGCAGCAACGCCGCGUGAGUGAGGAAGGUCUUCGGAUUGUAAAACUCUUUUAUUAGGGAAAAAUGUCUAGGUGGCUAAUAUCCACUUAGAGUGAUGGUACCUAAGGAAUAAGCACCGGCUAACUUCGUGCCAGCAGCCGCGGUAAUACGAAGGGUGCAAGCGUUGUUCGGAAUCAUUGGGCGUAAAGCGCGAGCAGGCGGGUCAGUAAGUCAGGUGUGAAAUCUCGGAGCUCAACGCCGAAACUGCGACUGAAACGAUUGGUCUAGAGUAUCGGAGGGGACAGGGGAAUUUCACGUGUAGGGGUAAAAUCCGUAGAGAUGUGAAGGAACACCGGAGGCGAAGGCGCCUGUCUGGACGAUUACUGACGCUGAGGCGCGAAAGCGUGGGGAGCAAACAGGAUUAGAAACCCCUGUAGUCC